rnacentral:misc_RNA from 1 species
GUAGGUGAACCUGCGGAAGGAUCAUUAACACAUGAGCAAUCAUGUUAUUUCACAAACGCGUACAUGUUAUUUACUCUCCCUGCCUGUAUGAUACGAGUGGAUUCGCUGUUAUGGUGUGAACCGUUAGUAACACAAGUGUGGUGUAACAACUACAUGGAGUGAAAGCAGUUCAACAGUGAGUUCUAUGGAUGCUUUAUUGACAUCCGGCUCGUUCGAUAGGUGGGUCAGACCCGUUUCGGUUAUAAAACCCGCACCUCGUGUUUUGUAGCUGAGGCACUUACUAUUAUUUACCCCUUUACUUUAUUUACUAAUUCUUAUAUGCGUGGAGCACUUAACUGUGUGUAAGCCAUAUACUUUAAUACGAUACAACUCUUAGCAACGGAUAUCUUGGUUCUC